UACGUAGGGGACCAAGCGUUGUUCGGAAUUACUGGGCGUAAAGCGCGCGUAGGCGGCUAUUCAAGUCAGAGGUGAAAUCCCUGGGCUCAACCCAGGAAUUGCCUUUGAAACUGUAUAGCUUGAGUGUCGGAGGGGAUAGCGGAAUUCCUAAUGUAGAGGUGAAAUUCGUAGAUAUUAGGAGGAACACCGGUGGCGAAGGCGGCUAUCUGGACGACAACUGACGCUGAGGCGACGAAAGUACGGGGAUCAA
rnacentral:rRNA from 1 species